CUUUACUGUAGCCUGGAAUGGUGUUCGGGCUUCGCUUGCGCAGAAUAGGUGGGAGGCAUUGAAGGUUCUCUUGUGGGAGGACUGGAGCCUAAAUGUGAGAUACCACUCUGGCGAGGCUAGAAUUCUAACCCUGACCCGUGAUCCGGGCGGGGAACAGUUUCAGGUGGGCAGUUUGACUGGGGCGGUCGCCUCCAAAAAGGUAACGGAGGCGCGCAAAGGUUCCCUCAGGCUGGUUGGAAAUCAGCCCUUUGAGUGUAAAGGCAGAAGGGAGCUUGACUGCAAGACUGACAAGUCAAGCAGGGUGGAAACACGGCCUUAGUGAUCCGACGGCACAGAGUGGAAUGGCCGUCGCUCAACGGAUAAAAGUUA
rnacentral:rRNA from 1 species